UGCUUUGCUUCCCCACGCUUCCUCAAC
rnacentral:piRNA from 1 species